AUUGAACGCUGGCGGCAGGCCUAACACAUACAAGUCGAGCGGAUGAAGGGAGCUUGCUCCUGGAUUCAGCGGCGGACGGGUGAGUAAUGCCUAGGAAUCUGCCUGGUAGUGGGGGAUAACGUCCGGAAACGGGCGCUAAUACCGCAUACGUCCUGAGGGAGAAAGUGGGGGAUCUUCGGACCUCACGCUAUCAGAUGAGCCUAGGUCGGAUUAGCUAGUUGGUGGGGUAAAGGCCUACCAAGGCGACGAUCCGUAACUGGUCUGAGAGGAUGAUCAGUCACACUGGAACUGAGACACGGUCCAGACUCCUACGGGAGGCAGCAGUGGGGAAUAUUGGACAAUGGGCGAAAGCCUGAUCCAGCCAUGCCGCGUGUGUGAAGAAGGUCUUCGGAUUGUAAAGCACUUUAAGUUGGGAGGAAGGGCGGUAAGUUAAUACCUUGCUGUUUUGACGUUACCAACAGAAUAAGCACCGGCUAACUUCGUG
rnacentral:rRNA from 1 species